GAUGAACGCUGGCGGCGUGCCUAAUACAUGCAAGUAGAACGCUGAAGGAAGGAGCUUGCUCUUUCCGGAUGAGUUGCGAACGGGUGAGUAACGCGUAGGUAACCUGCCUGGUAGCGGGGGAUAACUAUUGGAAACGAUAGCUAAUACCGCAUAACAGUAGAUGUUGCAUGACAACUAUUUGAAAGGGGCAAUUGCUCCACUACCAGAUGGACCUGCGUUGUAUUAGCUAGUUGGUGAGGUAACGGCUCACCAAGGCGACGAUACAUAGCCGACCUGAGAGGGUGAUCGGCCACACUGGGACUGAGACACGGCCCAGACUCCUACGGGAGGCAGCAGUAGGGAAUCUUCGGCAAUGGACGGAAGUCUGACCGAGCAACGCCGCGUGAGUGAAGAAGGUUUUCGGAUCGUAAAGCUCUGUUGUAAGAGAAGAACGAGUGUGAGAGUGGAAAGUUCACACUGUGACGGUAUCUUACCAGAAAGGGACGGCUAACUACGU
rnacentral:rRNA from 1 species